CCUACGGGGGGCAGCAGUGGGGAAUAUUGCACAAUGGGCGGAAGCCUGAUGCAGCAACGCCGCGUGCGGGAUGACGGCCUUCGGGUUGUAAACCGCUUUCGCCUGUGACGAAGCGUGAGUGACGGUAAUGGGUAAAGAAGCACCGGCUAACUACGUGCCAGCAGCCGCGGUGAUACGUAGGGUGCGAGCGUUGUCCGGAUUUAUUGGGCGUAAAGGGCUCGUAGGUGGUUGAUCGCGUCGGAAGUGUAAUCUUGGGGCUUAACCCUGAGCGUGCUUUCGAUACGGGUUGACUUGAGGAAGGUAGGGGAGAAUGGAAUUCCUGGUGGAGCGGUGGAAUGCGCAGAUAUCAGGAGGAACACCAGUGGCGAAGGCGGUUCUCUGGGCCUUUCCUGACGCUGAGGAGCGAAAGCGUGGGGAGCGAACAGGCUUAGAUACCCCGGUAGUC
rnacentral:rRNA from 1 species